UGGGGAAUCUUGCGCAAUGGGCGAAAGCCUGACGCAGCAACGCCGUGUGAGUGAGGAAGGCCUUCGGGUUGUAAAGCUCUGUCAGAUGGGAAAAACGGCGGUUAUUCGAAUAGGGUAAUCGAUUGAUGGUACCAUCAGAGGAAGCACCGGCAAACUUCGUGCCAGCAGCCGCGGUAAUACGAAGGGUGCAAGCGUUGUUCGGAUUUAUUGGGCGUAAAGCGCGCGCAGGCGGGUUUGCAAGUCAGAUGUGAAAUCUCGGGGCUCAACCCCGAAACUGCGUCUGAAACUACAAAUCUAGAAUGUUGGAGAGGGAAGUGGAAUUUCGCAUGUAGGGGUAAAAUCCGUAGAGAUGCGAAGGAACACCGGAGGCGAAGGCGGCUUCCUGGCCAACGAUUGACGC
rnacentral:rRNA from 1 species